GACGAACGCUGGCGGCGUGCUUAACACAUGCAAGUCGAACGGAAAGGCCCUGCUUUUGUGGGGUGCUCGAGUGGCGAACGGGUGAGUAACACGUGAGUAACCUGCCCUUGACUUUGGGAUAACUUCAGGAAACUGGGGCUAAUACCGGAUAGGAGCUCCUGCUGCAUGGGGGGGGUUGGAAAGUUUCGGCGGUUGGGGAUGGACUGGAGGCUUAUCCGCUUGUUGGUGGGGUAGUGGCUUACCAAGGGUUUGACGGGUAGCCGGCCUGAGAGGGUGACCGGCCACAUUGGGACUGAGAGACGGCCCAGACGCCUACGGGAGGCAGCAGUGGGGAAUAUUGCACAAUGGGCGGAAGCCUGAUGCAGCAACGCCGCGUGCGGGAUGACGGCCUUCGGGUUGUAAACCGCUUUCGCCGGUGACGAAGCGUGAGUGACGGUAAUGGGUAAAGAAGCACCGGCUAACUACGUG
rnacentral:rRNA from 1 species